rnacentral:rRNA from 1 species
CGGACGGGUGAGUAAUGUCUGGGAAACUGCCCGAUGGAGGGGGGUAACUACUGGAAACGGUAGCUAAUACCGCAUAAUGUCUGCGGACCAAAGCGGGGGACCUCCGGGCCUCGCGCCAUCAGAUGAACCCAUAUGGGAUUAGCUAGUAGGUGAGGUAACGGCUUACCUAGGCGACGAUCCCUAGCUGGUCUGAGAGGAUGACCAGCCACACUGGAACUGAGACACGGCCCAG